rnacentral:rRNA from 1 species
GACGAACGCUGGCGGCGUGCUUAACACAUGCAAGUCGAACGCUGAAGCUCAGCUUUUGUUGGGUGGAUGAGUGGCGAACGGGUGAGUAACACGUGAGUAACCUGCCCCCUUCUUUGGGAUAACGCCCGGAAACGGGUGCUAAUACUGGAUAUUCACUGGUCUUCGCAUGGGGGCUGGUGGAAAGGGUUUUUCUGGUGGGGGAUGGGCUCGCGGCCUAUCAGCUUGUUGGUGGGGUGAUGGCCUACCAAGGCUUUGACGGGUAGCCGGCCUGAGAGGGUGACCGAUCACGUUAGGACUGAGAUACGGCCCAGACUCCUACGGGAGGCAGCAGUGGGGAAUAUUGCACAAUGGGCGCAAGCCUGAUGCAGCGACGCCGCGUGAGGGAUGGCGGCCUUCGGGUUGUGAACCUCUUUCGCUCAUGGUCAAGCCGCAACAAUGGUUGUGGUGAGGGUAGUGGGUAAAGAAGCGCCGGCUAACUACGUG